GGAAAGAACCAACAGGGAUUGCCUUAGUAACGGCGAGUGAAGCGGCAACAGCUCAAAUUUGAAAUCUGGCUCCCUUGGGGGCCCGAGUUGUAAUUUGUAGAGGAUGUUUCGGCGUGGGCCCCGGUCUAAGUUCCUUGGAACAGGACGUCACAGAGGGUGAGAAUCCCGUACGUGGCCGUGGGUGCUCGCCAUGUGAAGCUCCUUCGACGAGUCGAGUUGUUUGGGAAUGCAGCUCUAAAUGGGAGGUAAAUUUCUUCUAAAGCUAAAUACUGGCCAGAGACCGAUAGCGCACAAGUAGAGUGAUCGAAAGAUGAAAAGCACUUUGGAAAGAGAGUCAAAAAGUACGUGAAAUUGUUGAAAGGGAAGCGCUUGCAACCAGACCUGCCUGCGGUUGCUCAUCCGGGCUCUUGCCCGGUGCACUCUUCCGCAGUCAGGCCAGCAUCAGCUCUGGCGGUCGGAUAAAGGCGGCGGGAAUGUGGCUCCCCUCGGGGAGUGUUAUAGCCCGCCGUGCAAUGCGGCCAGCCGGGACUGAGGUCCGCGCUUCGGCUAGGAUGCUGGCGUAAUGGUUGUAAGCGGCCCGUCUUGAAACACGGACCAAGGAGUCUAACAUCUGUGCGAGUGUUUGGGUGUCAAGCCCAGGCGCGUAAUGAAAGUGAACGGAGGCGGGAACCUUCGGGUGCACCGUCGACCGAUCCUGAUGUCUUCGGAUGGAUUUGAGUAAGAGCAUAGCUGUUGGGACCCGAAAGAUGGUGAACUAUGCCUGAAUAGGGUGAAGCCAGAGGAAACUCUGGUGGAGGCUCGCAGCGGUUCUGACGUGCAAAUCGAUCGUCAAAUUUGGGCAU
rnacentral:rRNA from 1 species